AUACGGAGGGUGCAAGCGUUAUUCGGAAUCACUGGGCGUAAAGGACGCGUAGGCGGGUUGGCAAGUCAGAUGUGAAAUCCUACGGCUUAACUGUAGAACUGCAUUUGAAACUGCUAACCUAGAGUAUGGGAGGGGGAGAUGGAAUUAGUGGUGUAGGGGUAAAAUCCGUAGAUAUCACUAGGAAUACCGAAAGCGAAGGCGAUCUCCUGGAACAUAACUGACGCUAAGGCGUGAAAGCGUGGGGAGCAAACAGGAUUAGAAACCCUAGUAGUCC
rnacentral:rRNA from 1 species